UGUGUUUCGAAUAGCCGCUCAAUCUGGUUGGCGAACUUUGAAGAACAAUUCAGAGGGAAUCAUUGAUGGCAAAGGCGAGGCCUAAGCAAAUAUGAAUGGUCCUGAAAAAGCACAAUCGGAUAUGAAAUGGCAACACCAGAAAUUGGAAAGGAAUCUACUAAGGCUCCCACAAUUGAUGGAUCCAAUGCUUUAAAAGAUGGAAGUCAACAUGGGUGAGGGAAGGCUAUUGGAAUUGUGGAUUGUCGACUAGAUAUAAGGGUGUGCAUCAGUAUUUAAGAGCUAAAAACUGUUGUGUUGAAGUUGGCCAAAAAAUAAUCACAGCUCCCUUUCCAAUAAAACAUCGACAUCCAAACGUUAUGCAACGGACAACAAGAAGAUAAAGAUCGACGUUGAAAAGAUGAUAGCAAGCUACAAAGCUUCUGUA